rnacentral:rRNA from 1 species
GACGAACGCUGGCGGCGUGCUUAACACAUGCAAGUCGAACGGAAAGGCCCUGCUUGCAGGGUCCUCGAGUGGCGAACGGGUGAGUAACACGUGGGUGAUCUGCCCUGCACUUCGGGAUAAGCCUGGGAAACUGGGUCUAAUACCGGAUAGGAGCCAUUUUUAGUGUGAUGGUUGGAAAGUUUUUUCGGUGUAGGAUGAGCUCGCGGCCUAUCAGCUUGUUGGUGGGGUAAUGGCCUACCAAGGCGGCGACGGGUAGCCGGCCUGAGAGGGUGGACGGCCACAUUGGGACUGGGAUACGGCCCAGGCUCCGACGGGAGGGAGAAGUGGGGAAGAUUGCACAAGGGGAGCAAGCCUGAUGCAGAGACGCCGCGGGGGGGAUGACGGCCUUCGGGUUGUAAACUCCUUUCGCUAGGGACGAAGCUUUUUGUGACGGUACCUAGAUAAGAAGCACCGGCUAACUACGUG